CAGUCGCCGCGGGAAUACGAAGGGUGCAAGCGUUAAUCGGAAUUACUGGGCGUAAAGCGUGCGUAGGUGGUGGUUUAAGUCCGUUGUGAAAGCCCUGGGCUCAACCUGGGAAUUGCAGUGGAUACUGGGUCACUAGAGUGUGGUAGAGGAUAGUGGAAUUUCCGGUGUAGCAGUGAAAUGCGUAGAGAUCGGAAGGAACAUCUGUGGCGAAGGCGACUAUCUGGGCCAACACUGACACUGAGGCACGAAAGCGUGGGGAGCAAACAGGAUUAGAUACCCCUGUAGUCCCUGUCUCUUAUAC
rnacentral:rRNA from 1 species